GAUUGAACGCUGGCGGCGUGCUUAACACAUGCAAGUCGUGCGAGAAAGGGGACUUCGGUCCCUGAGUAGAGCGGCGCACGGGUGAGUAACGCGUGGAUUAUCUACCCAGACGUUCGGGAUAACGGCGGGAAACUGCCGCUAAUACCGGAUACGCUCCAAUUUCGGUUGGGGAAAGGCGGCCUCUGCUUGCAAGCUGUCGCAUCUGGAUGAGUCCGCGUCCCAUUAGCUUGUUGGUGGGGUAAUGGCCUACCAAGGCUACGAUGGGUAGCUGGUCUGAGAGGAUGAUCAGCCACACUGGAACUGAAACACGGUCCAGACUCCUACGGGAGGCAGCAGUGGGGAAUAUUGCGCAAUGGGGGAAACCCUGACGCAGCGACGCCGUGUGAGGG
rnacentral:rRNA from 1 species